rnacentral:rRNA from 1 species
UACGAAGGGGGCUAGCGUUGCUCGGAAUCACUGGGCGUAAAGGGUGCGUAGGCGGGUCUUUAAGUCGGGGGUGAAAUCCUGGAGCUCAACUCCAGAACUGCCUUCGAUACUGGAAGACUCGAGUCCGGGAGAGGUGAGUGGAACUGCGAGUGUAGAGGUGAAAUUCGUAGAUAUUCGCAAGAACACCUGAGGUGAAGACGGGUUGCUGGGCUGACACUGACGCUGAAGCGCGAAAGCUAGGGGAGCAAACGGG